UGCCACAGUUUCUACAGUUCCUUAUUGA
rnacentral:sRNA from 1 species